CUGUGGAAUUCUCCCACUGGCCUCCUCCCUCCCCUCCUUCUCCAGCACUGGUGCCUGGAGCUGGCCAAGCCAGAGUUGUCCCAAAUGAUUGCAAAGGCUAAGGGAGGAGGCCACCUGGGGAGCAGAGGGGCUGCAAACACUGGCCUUUCCCCAUGUUCCCCUAGGGCAGCACCUGCUCCACAUCUCGCAAGGCUUGCUGAUGGCAAAGCACAGAAUCAGACAAAAACAGAAGCAAAACUGUCCUCUUCAGUGUCUUUGUGUAAUAUGCCCAACGCGGGGCCCAUCCAGCAAGUGAGCAGAAGCGCAGUGCCCCGCGCACAGAGCUUUGCUGCGUGGUGAGCUGCUCCAGAGCUGCCAUGCACAUUGCUGUACCCCUCCUUCACGUGACAGCCCUUGUGAUGAAGUUGGCAGGAGCUCAGAGCCAAGGGAACGUGCCCCUCUUCGUCUGUGGUCUCCUUUCUUUUAUUGGGACAAGCAUGUGAUCAUCCCGGCCUCCACCUGCACGCUGCCACGGCCCUCUGCUUCUCUCUAGACACACUCAUCAAGAUGCCUUCUCCCCAGCCAUUGCAACACUACGGCCUUCCCCUGCAGACUUCCAGUUCUGGACGAGCACCCUGGGACCACAGCUGUGGCGUUUGUGGACUGUCUUAGUCAUGUGAUAGCUGAGAACAGAAUAAAGGUAUUAAAUGCCAUCACCAUUUUCCACCAUUUUAUAAG